rnacentral:lncRNA from 1 species
GUUUCUUCAUCCAUCCGCAGUCAUUUGCAUCUUACAGCAGUAACAUAAGAGAUGAAUAUUCAUGCUAACUGAAGGAGGACCAUGAGCCGAUCGACUGGUGCGAAAGAAAAGAUUCCCAUAAUUCUCCCAGUGUACUUAGGCCCAACACAAGCUGGGCGCCUCUCUGCCAGAAGCCUGCUCCGAAGACCUGGAGGGGGAGAAGACAAAAGUGCUUCAAGGAGCUGCUAGUGUUUCACCCUCCUGGAAGCGUUCAGCAGUCCUUGCUGUGUGGAGACUGGAACCAGGGGAUCAUGGCCCGUGGCAGCGUGCUGUGUGGCCCAGGAGCACGGGGCAAGGAGCUGUUGGAAGUGCUCUCUUUUGUCACUUAGCCUGGCCUAAGAGUUCCCUGUAGCUCCUGACUUGGCUACAUUAUAGCAGGGCCCAGCCUAUUGGCCUUGGGAGAUGAAUUUUCCAGCUGAGAGAACUAAAAGCAGGUGGAUACAAAAUGACUCACCUCUGGCCCUAACAGUUGCAGAGGGACCUAGCUCAAGCAGUGUUUACUCUGAGAUUCUGCUGCGUAAGGAAAGGAGUCUGUGCCGUUGGGGACUGUCUUCCCCGAAGCAAUCCACGUAACUUCUUCACAAGAGUAAGGAUGUCCGUGCUUAUUGCACCUUCGCUCUGCCCGGCACUUGCUAGAUGGUUUGUGUACCUCCUGUCUCACACUCAGCACCACAGUCGUCUGAAGAGGGCACCACUGCUCUUGCCAUUUUGCAGGGGAAGCUGCUGGGGCAUAGAGUUUUAAUAGUCCUCCUGGGCACCUGCGAAUGGCACCAAAGGAGACAUUGUUUCAUCGCUCCCCAUAGCAUCCAGCCUUACCUGUGGAAAUUUGUACAGUUCUAGCAGUCUUCCAAUCUGGGCAGAAAUUGACUGUUGUGUUCCUGUAAGUGUUGCUACAGACUUGCUCUCUCUCCUACAGGUGUAAUUAGGGAGGUCCUUGUCCACCCCUGAGAGCCAAAUGAAGGAACUCUCCAAUGUCCUCUAUUCACUGUGCAGAGCUUCAUAGAGAUCAAACCCCAGAAACGUGUUGGGUAAAAGAUGGGAGUUUCUGUUAAUUUCCUCAAUGGCAAAAACCAAGGCCAGAUCAUACUGGUAGUUCUUGUAGUGAAACCUGCAUGGAGGGCUAGGGAUCCUUGGGAAAAGACUCAAACCAGGAUUAUCAUCAAAUCCAAUACAGUGACUUAAUUAAGGGUGAAUGCCCAGUCAACUCAUUCUAUCUGUGUCAACAGCUGGCUCUCCUGAAGCCUUAGAAUUUACAGCGAAAGCAAAUCACCUAACUUACGCUCUGCAAAGACGUUAAUGAAUUACACACAUGUGGAGAAAAAUUAUUCAGUUUACAAAGGAAAGUAUAAUGAAUGGAAAAGCAGGUCACAUUCAAAGUAGGUUUUGGAAAUGAUUCUUUGAUUCAAGAACCAAAUGCUUGUUCAUAUGAACACAUCAUUAAAUGCUUCAUAGAACAGUAACAAUAUUAACAUGAGAUUGGAGACAGCCCUGGGGAGGAAGAGGAAUUCUGACUUAAGGUUAGGGGGUAAGCAGAGAAGCAUGACAUCUGUGGGUUGAGAGUGGUGCAGCAGAAGGCUGGCAAUCAAAUUGCCUAAGCUUCUGCCUCAUCAAACUUGUGUCUCCGCCACCAUCAAUAAUCGGCAAGCUAAGAGGAACUUCAGAGCUUCCUGACGAGGAAUCAUCAAACGGCAGGAACAUUUGGGAAAAGCAUGAAGGACUGAAAGGACUGGAAAUGCUUCAGAAUCUAAGAGACACAGCAUUGUAAAUUUUAAAAAAUGAAAAUGUAAUUAUCAAAACUGACUCAAAUAUAAAAUAAAGAGAGAAAAUUAUACA